rnacentral:rRNA from 1 species
UACUCCUACGGGAGGCAGCAGUAGGGAAUCUUCCACAAUGGACGCAAGUCUGAUGGAGCAACGCCGCGUGAGUGAAGAAGGCUUUCGGGUCGUAAAACUCUGUUGUUGGAGAAGAAUGGUCGGCAGAGUAACUGUUGUCGGCGUGACGGUAUCCAACC